UUCACUUCUUUAUUUCCUUUCCAUGAUUUUCCAGAGUAUGAACUCUGAGAAUUAGCUUGCAGGAAUGUGGCUCAUUUGGUGACUCUCUUGGGUGGUUCUUUUGUUGGACUUUGUCCAUAAUCGGAAUGAUAACUGGGUUCAGAGAGAUGAACAAUUCUGCAGGUACAUGGCAUUGUUAAUUGUCUCACUUUUGCUAUCUGUUGUUGCUUUGCACCCAAAGGUUGCACAAUUGGAGCAACAAGAAAAAUGCAAACAUCACUGAUGAACUUAGACUACUUGCUCACGGCCUAAUGGAUACGGCAAGGAGAUACACUGGAUACAUUGUUAAUGGUUUUACAUUUCACACCAAAGCUCGUGAAAGAUGGUUGAGAACUCAAAAUAGUGGGGUUGUUGUAAUAGCUAACAUGAUGGGUUAUGCAAGUUCAAGGGAUGUAUGACCUAUUGAAGGAGAAAUUAACUAUUAUGGGGCUUUAAUUGACAUCAUUCAACUAAACUACAGUGGUAGAUUCAAGGUUGUUUUAUUUAAAUGUGAUUGAAUCGAUCCAAAUAGAGGUUUGAAGAAAGAUAAAUUUGGUUUUACUGUUGUGAAUUUUUCACAUCUUGCUCAUAAUGGAAUUAAUUUGGUUGAUAAUCCUUUUGUUUUUGCAUCACAAGCUAAGAAGGUCUUUUAUGUUCAAGAUGAAAAGAAUAAAGAUUGGCUUAUUGUCAAGCAUGCAAAACUUAGGGACAUAUAUGAUAUGGGUGGUGGAUCAUCCUUUGAUAGGCAUGAAAGGAGUGCAGAAGUACAAGUUGAUGACUCACAUGACACUUCAAAGUGGGUUUGAAAUGAAGUUGAUGGAGUGGUGGUCACAUAAGAGAUGGAAACGACACAUGAAGAAGAACAAGCUCUUUAUAAUGAGGACCUCUUUUUAGAUCUAUUUUAUGAUUUAAUUUCAUGUAAUCAAUGUUGAUUGCAAAUCCAAGUUUGUUCAUUUUUUUUUGUUGAUGUGACUAUGUGGGUAUGAAGUUUAA